UAUGGCCACAUCACAUUGGAAUACCAGUUCCCAUAUGAUCACUGAAGUGAAGCAAUGUUGAGCCUGGUCAGUACCUAGAUGGUCAACCACUUGGGAAUAUCAGGUGCUGUAUG